UUUUCUGAGUAGCGGCGAGCGAAAGGGAAAGAGCCCAAACCAGUGACUUGUCACUGGGGUUGCGGACAGAGCAUUAACGAGAAGAUGUUAUUAACCGAACAUAACUGGAAAGUUAGACCGUAGGAGGUAAUAGUCCUGUAGGUGAAAGUAACAUUUAUCAAGCUUUGAUCCAGAGUACCACGAGACACGUGAAACCUUGUGGGAAGCAGGGAGGACCACCUCCCAAGGCUAAAUACUACCUGAUGACCGAUAGUGAAGCAGUACCGUGAGGGAAAGGUGAAAAGAACCCCGGGAGGGGAGUGAAAUAGAACCUGAAACCGUGUGCCUACAACCGGUCAAAGCCCCAUAUGAGGGUGAUGACGUGCUUUUUGUAGAACGAGCCAACGAGUUACGGUAUGUAGCAAGGUUAAGUACUUAAGGUACGGAGCCGAAGGGAAACCGAGUCUUAAUAGGGCGACUAGUUGCAUGCCGUAGACCCGAAACCGGGUGACCUAUCCAUGGCCAGGUUGAAGCGAGGGUAAAACCUCGUGGAGGACCGAACCACGUUGCUGUUGAAAAAGCAUGGGAUGAGCUGUGGAUAGCGGAGAAAUUCCAAUCGAACUCGGAGAUAGCUGGUUCUCCCCGAAAUAGCUUUAGGGCUAGCGUCGGAUAUGUGUAGUGGAGGUAGAGCACUGAAUGGGCUAGGGGGCAUAUCGCUUACCGAACCUUAUCAAACUCCGAAUGCCAUAUACAUUUAGUCCGGCAGUCAGACUACGAAUGAUAAGAUCCGUGGUCAAAAGGGAAACAGCCCAGAUCGUCAGCUAAGGUCCCAAAGUGUAAGUUAAGUGGAAAAGGAUGUGGGAUUUCUAAGACAACUAGGAUGUUGGCUUAGAAGCAGCCACUCAUUUAAAGAGUGCGUAAUAGCUCACUAGUCGAGAGAUCCUGCGCCGAAAAUGUCCGGGGCUAAAACUUACCACCGAAGCUACGGGCUUGCGUAAGCAAGCGGUAGGGGAGCGUCGUAAUCGGGCUGAAGUCGUACCGUAAGGAGCGGUGGACUGAUUACGAGUGAGAAUGUUGGCAUUAGUAGCGAGAUGUAGGUGAGAAUCCUACAGGCCGAAUAUCUAAGGUUUCCUCAGGAAGGCUCGUCCGCUGAGGGUUAGUCGGGACCUAAGCCGAGGCCGAAAGGCGUAGGCGAUGGACAACAGGUUGAUAUUCCUGUACCACUACCAUCGUUAUUAUCGAGGGUGUGACGGAGAAGGAUAGUGUGUGCUAGCGAUUGGAAAUGCUAGUCUAAGCGUUUAGGCAGUUACGGUAGGCAAAUCCGCUGUAAUGUUAAUGCUGAGGCGUGAUGGGGAAGGCCCUUGAGGCUGAAGUACAUGAUUCCAUGCUUCCAAGAAAAGCAUCUAGAGAGAGAAGUAGUGCCCGUACCGCAAACCGACACAGGUAGAUGAGGAGAGAAUCCUAAGGCCGGCGGAAGAAUUGCAGUUAAGGAACUAGGCAAAUUGACCCCGUAAGUUAGCGAGAAGGGGUGCCUACGAGAGUAGGCCGCAGAGAAUAGGCCCAAGCAACUGUUUAGCAAAAACACAGGUCUCUGCUAAAGCGCAAGCUGAUGUAUAGGGGCUGACGCCUGCCCGGUGCUGGAAGGUUAAGGGGAACACUUAGCGCAAGCGAAGGUGUGAACUUAAGCCCCAGUAAACGGCGGCCGUAACUAUAACGGUCCUAAGGUAGCGAAAUUCCUUGUCAGGUAAGUUCUGACCCGCACGAAUGGCGUAAUGACUUGGGCACUGUCUCAACUGCAAAUCCGGCGAAGUUGUAGUGCGAGUGAAGAUGCUCGCUACCCGCGAUUGGACGGAAAGACCCCGUAGAGCUUUACUGUAGCUUAGCAUUGAAUUCCGGUAUUGUCUGUACAGGAUAGGUGGGAGACUGGGAAACUAGGGCGUCAGCCUUAGUGGAGUCGUCCUUGGGAUACCACCCUGACAGUACUGGGGUUCUAACAGGACACCAUGAAUCUGGUGACUGGACAUUGUUAGGUGGGCAGUUUGACUGGGGCGGUCGCCUCCUAAAAAGUAACGGAGGCGCCCAAAGGUUCCCUCAGAACGGUCGGAAAUCGUUCGUAGAGUGCAAAGGCAGAAGGGAGCCUGACUGCGAGACCUACAAGUCGAGCAGGGACGAAAGUCGGGCUUAGUGAUCCGGU
rnacentral:rRNA from 1 species